GGGGUAGCAAUACUACCGGCGCACGGGUGAGUAACACGUACAUAACAUACCAUAUACUGGGGUAUAGCUUUGGGAAACUGAAGGUAAUCCCCCAUAACAUUGCGAGAGGGCAUCUGAUUGCAAUUAAAGUUUCGACGGUAUAUGAUUGAUGUGCGUUUGAUUAGCUUGUUGGUAGGGUAACGGCCUACCAAGGCGACGAUCAAUAGCUGGCGUGAGAGCGCGACCAGCCACACUGGAACUGAGACACGGUCCAGACUCCUACGGGAGGCAGCAGUAGGGAAUAUUGGACAAUGGGCGAAAGCCUGAUCCAGCCAUGCCGCGUGAUAGAUGAAGGCCCUCUGGGUUGUAAAUAUCUUUUUAUCUGGGAAGAAACAAUCUUAUUCUUAAGAUCUUGACGGUACCAGAGGAAUAAGCACCGGCUAACUCCGUG
rnacentral:rRNA from 1 species